GGCUUUUACUUGGAGUCUUGGGCCACUGUCAACUUCAGGGAGGAGCUGCCGCCGAUGCCAAGAAUGUGGAACUGGAUUUUUUGGAGGUGAUAGUGCACUAGCAUGACUAAUGACCCUAAAGAAGAUACUGCAAGCAAUACCUCAAGAUUUCUGAAAACUCUUCUAAUGCUCUUGGCCCAGGAUGUAGGCUUCUCUGGGGAAAAUAGCGAGAUGUUUUAUCCUGUGGUGAUCACCAGAAACAAAGACAAAUGACAGAGGGUGAUGUGUGGGAGGAAAGAGCACCCACUCUGGAGGGAGUCAUCUGUCCUACAAAAAGUCUGGCUACCUGGAAAGUAAUACUAAGAGAGCUGUGUAAACUGCUUCUUACUCCUACAAUUAUGGAUGUAACCAUCAUUGUACAUCCAAGUCUUCCUAAAUAGGCUUAAUUCUAGCCAAGUUAUAUGCCUGUAGUCUCAGCACUUAGGAGACUGAGAUAAGAUUACAACUUCAGGUCAAAAUAAAGCUAUUCUAUUCAAAAAAAGUAAAAGAAAAGAAAAGAUGAUUAAGAAACAUUCAUGUCCUAUCCUUGACCACAGUUUUAUAAAAUGUGUUCAUGAUGAAGAGAGUCGUUCCUCACUUCAAUAGGAAUGACUUCCUUGUAUGAAUUUGAUAUCAUGUAAAGACACAGAAGAAGCAAAUUGAGUGAUAAUAUGGCAGAAAAUGUCCUGUGAUGUAUCUAAAGAACAAGAAAUGCCAUGUAUGGGUUGGCUCACCCCUAAUAGGCUUGAGGGCCACCAGGCCCAAACAAUGAUACUUUCUAAGAGCCAACCUGGGUCUGCCUAAGGGCCUUAGCAACAGCAGCUGAAACAUGAUCUGGAGAUGACCUGGACCAACGAGAGGUAGCCAUGUCAUACCAACAGAUGCAUAUUUCUCAGACCUUUCCCCAGGGUGGGGUGGAGGGUAU